CUCUCCUACCAUCUCUGUAGCAGGCAGUUUUCCUUGGUCUCGUGACUGUGAGAGUUACAAGACCUAAGUUCCAAGAAGCAGCAGUCCCACAACAUUCUGGAUCUGCUUCGAACCUGGAAUAUCCGGAUGGUCACCAUCAUGUCCAUAAUGCUGUGGAUGACCAUAUCAGUGGGCUAUUUCGGGCUUUCGCUUGAUACUCCUAACUUGCAUGGGGACAUCUAUGUGAACUGCUUCCUUUCAGCGAUGGUUGAAGUCCCAGCAUAUGUGUUGGCCUGGCUGCUGCUGCAAUAUUUGCCCCGGCGCUAUUCCAUGGCCACUGCCCUCUUCCUGGGUGGCAGUGUCCUUCUCUUCGUGCAGCUGGUACCCCCAGACUUGUAUUAUUUGGCUACAGUCCUGGUGAUGGUGGGCAAGUUUGGAGUCACAGCUGCCUUUUCCAUGGUCUACGUGUACACAGCCGAGCUGUAUCCCACAGUGGUGAGAAACAUGGGUGUGGGAGUCAGCUCCACAGCAUCCCGCCUGGGCAGCAUCCUGUCUCCCUACUUCGUUUACCUCGGUGCCUAC
rnacentral:sRNA from 1 species